AGUCGCCUAGGGAGGCAACAGUGAGGAAUAUUGGUCAAUGGGCGGGAGCCUGAACCAGCCAAGCCGCGUGAGGGAAGAAGGUACAGCGUAUCGUAAACCUCUUUUGUCAGGGAACAAAGGCGGGGACUAGUCCCCGGAUGAGGGUACCUGAAGAAAAAGCAUCGGCUAACUCCGUGCCAGCAGCCGCGGUAAUACGGAGGAUGCGAGCGUUAUCCGGAUUUAUUGGGAUUAAAGGGUGCGCAGGCGGCCUGUUAAGUCAGCGGUAAAAGCCCGGGGC
rnacentral:rRNA from 1 species